rnacentral:rRNA from 1 species
GACGAACGCUGGCGGCGUGCUUAACACAUGCAAGUCGAACGGAAAGGCCCUGCUUUUGUGGGGUGCUCGAGUGGCGAACGUGUGAGUAACACGUGAGUAACCUGCCCUUGACUUUUGGAUAACUUCAGGAAACUGUGGCUAAUACCGGAUCGGAGCUCCUGCUGCAUGGUGGGGGUUGGAAAGUUUCGGCGGUUGGGGAUGGACUCGCGGCUUAUCAGCUUGUUGGUGGGGUAGUGGCUUACCAAGGCUUUGACGGGUAGCCGGCCUGAGAGGGGGACCGGCCACAUUGGGACUGAGAGACGGACCAGACUCCUACGGGAGGCAGCAGUGGGGAAUAUUGCACAAUGGGCGGAAGCCUGAUGCAGCAACGCCGCGUGCGGGAUGACGGCCUUCGGGUUGUAAACCGCUUUCGCCUGUGACGAAGCGUGAGUGACGGUAAUGGGUAAAGAAGCACCGGCUAACUACGUG